UUGCAUCACAUGACUACAAUUUACCCUAGAUGUUUUUUGUAGCCUGAACCUCAGUAAAAGGUCUCAAACGCUGUUGCUUGUUCAAGUCUAGAAAGAAAUAGAUGAAACAAUAUAAGAGGAAGAAGCCUUGAGAGAAACCAGACUUCAAACAUAUCAUCAUCAUCAUCAUCAUCAAUCAUUCAUUAUAGUUCCAUCAUCACUGUUGAAGUUAUCAGCUGUUCACUGAUGGAGACUCAAGUGCAAAACAUCACAUCAAUUACAGUCCAAAGCCGUCAUCAUGGUUCCUGAGUGUUCACCAGCCACAGUGUCUUUGGGCUGUCCAUGUGAAGAACAUAAACAUCAGUGGAAAGUGAUUUUUCCAAGGGAUGAGGACUUCAUCAGAGCAUCAGGAUGGAUCAGGAAGGUCUGGAGAACAGAAGGGAACAGGAUGAUUGAAAUCUCAGGAGCAUGUGUAUCUUGACAGAGAAUGAGAGAAGGAGAAAGAGAGAUUGAAGUUUCAGGAUUAGGGACAUGAUGCACUCUGAGUGAGUUCACCAAACCAGACGGUUCAGAAGGUCUUCAGAUAAUCAGGUUCUUUAAAAGGAUUUGUGCCAAUCUCAUCAAGACUGAAAUGAUCUCUUUCCCUUUUUAUCUUGUUGUUAGAGUUGUAUAUGACUAGCCAGAGUGAAGUUCUUCACGUUUGCGGGUUCACACGGAAGUGUUACACGACACGCUCAGGAACUCACAAGGGACUGGAAAUGUUGUAAAGCAAACUGCAGUAAAUCUGAUUGCUAGAUGAGAGAGGUGGGGUGCCAAUACUUUUUAAAUAUAAAUGAAAUCCACCUGUAUGUUAGGAGGCACAUGAAAGUGUUUUUUUAUUCACAUUGAAAUGGAACUAAACUGAAACUGAAAUCUGA